CCUACGGGGGGCUGCAGUAGGGAAUAUUGCGCAAUGGGGGAAACCCUGAAGCAGCAACGCCGCGUGGAGGAUGAAGUUUUUAGGAUGGUAAACUCCUUUUGUGAGAGAAGAAAAUGACGGUAUCUCACGAAUAAGCACCGGCUAACUCCGUGCCAGCAGCCGCGGUAAUACGGAGGGUGCAAGCGUUACUCGGAAUCACUGGGCGUAAAGAGUGCGCAGGCGGGCUUGUAAGUCAGAUGUGAAAUCCUGUAGCUGAACUACAGAACUGCAUUUGAUACUAGGAGUCUAGAGUGUGGGAGAGGUAGGUGGAAUUCUUGGUGUAGCGGUGAAAUCCUUAGAUAUCAAGAGGAAUA
rnacentral:rRNA from 1 species